rnacentral:rRNA from 1 species
GAUGAACGCUAGCUACAGGCUUAACACAUGCAAGUCGAGGGGCAGCGGUAUCGAAAGCUUGCUUUCGGUAGCCGGCGACCGGCGCACGGGUGAGUAACGCGUAUCGAACCUGCCUCAUACUCGGGAAUAGCCUUGCGAAAGUAAGAUUAAUGCCCGGUGUUUUCAGAGUCCCGCAUGAGGCUUUGAACAAAGAUUUAUCGGUAUGAGAUGGCGAUGCGUCCCAUUAGCUUGUUGGCGGGGUAACGGCCCACCAAGGCAUCGAUGGGUAGGGGUUCUGAGAGGAAGGUCCCCCACAUUGGAACUGAGACUCGGUCCAAACUCCUACGGGAGGCAGCAGUGAGGAAUAUUGGUCAAUGGGCGGAAGCCUGAACCAGCCAAGUAGCGUGCAGGAAGACGGCCCUCCGGGUUGUAAACUGCUUUUAGUUGGGAAUAAAACGGGGCUCGUGAGCCCCCUUGCAUGUACCAUCAGAAAAAGGACCGGCUAAUUCCGUG